CACGAACCGUACGAACGUUAUUCGGAAUUACUGGGCUUAAAGGGUUUGUAGGCGGCCAUGUAAGUCAGGUGUGAAAUCCCUCGGCUCAACCGAGGAACGGCGCUUGAUACUGCAUGGCUUGAGGGGGACAGGGGUAAGCGGAACUGAUGGUGGAGCGGUGAAAUGCGUUGAUAUCAUCAGGAACACCGGUGGCGAAAGCGGCUUACUGGGUCUCUUCUGACGCUGAGGAACGAAAGCUAGGGUAGCGAACGGG
rnacentral:rRNA from 1 species